CUGAUGAGGACUUUAAAAGGUGAACAUAUCUUCCUGCCCUGAAGUCAGACACAGUUUCUCAUGGUGUUAGCACUAAUGCAAACCUCAAAGAAACUUUCCCGGAUUUAAAACAAGAGCUGUGUUCAGAGGUCUCUCCAGAGGUCGAGCAGCUCACCUUCUAACACAAAGCAGGCCUAGCCAUGAGGGGUUGUCACUGGAGAAAUAGCUUCUCAGGCAGUGCAAAUUUGACAGAUCUCUGCUGACUCUGCUGUAGCUAGGCUGACAAUUUACACCAGAUGAGGGCCUGCCCUGGAGCCUCUAAAGACAAAAUCCAAGAAUGUGUCCAUGAAACAUUUGGCUGCUGGGAAAGCUCUCUGCAUGCCAGGUGACAGCAAGGUAGCUUAGUGAGUCUGUGAGUCCAAACACAGUAAAACUCCACAAAAGGGCAAGGACAGCUGUAAGGACCUGGGCCUGCAAGCAGAGUUGGGCUUAUGCUGUUUCAUGGAGUGGAGUACGAGGUGCAGUGCCAUCAUCCUGUCUUUCCUGCCAGCCUGGAACUUGAGAAGAAGAUGCUGCCUUUCUGGCUCAAGUGACCAGAGAUGGUUCAAUGUCUUGGUGGGUCUUGGUGGCACAGUCUGAUGAGGACAUAGAGGUGCCUCACUGCUGAGUUAUGAGGUGAGAGUGUGAAAAAGAGAUCUCCUGAAGGUUUCUUGUGCAUAUGUCCAUGAAAAGAAGUGUGUGUAGCUACUUGCUAAUCAAUACCUUUGAUUCAGCAUUGCACUGCAGUCUUCCUACUGUUCUCUGAUGGCUUGAAGUGAUGACACCGUGUGAUGACAAAAUCAUUUCAGCAGCCUUCCUCAGCAGAUCUUCCUGCACCAUUUCUGCAACUCUCAUUUGCACAUAUGACCUCGUGCCAGGACACAGCAUCACAACCCUGCCCUGUCUUGAGUGUACACGGACAAGCCAUACCAGAGCUGGGCUCCAGUAACACCUACUGUGCAAUGCACCAAACCAUCAGCACUCUGUGGAGGAAAAAGAAAAAUGGGGAUCUUUCUCAGACUUCUUUUUUCUCUUUUCCAAACAUUUCUGAACUCUGUGUGACCUCCUUUACAACUGAAUCCAAGCACCUCUAAAUACAUAGCAAAGGUAGUCAGAAGAAAGCUGAGUAUCUCAUCACAAACUGAAAGAAGCUAAAAAAAAAAAAAAAAAAAAGGGAGUUGAAAUAAACAAAGCUGAAGGUGAAAAUUAACUGUCUUAGAGGAGAGCAAAUUGAAAUAAAAAAUGUGGAUUGGAAUAUUAAAAGUACUGUGGACUGUGCAAUCUGUCCACCAUUCUCUUCCUCUUUGCCAUCCGUCCCACUCCCUAAAAAGCAUUUAAGCUGCAGGGGGAUAAUAUCACACUUGGGAAUUAUGAAAUAAAACCAAUGAGAGCAGUGGGAGUAACGUCACUCCUGUAAAUGAUCAAAACCCACCAAUUACAGGAAGGUGUUAAUCCUCAUCAGACCCAUUUGCUGCUGUGGAGGCACUUGAAGUAAAGCUGCUCUGGAAGUGUGAGAAGAGCAGCCACUCUCACAGUGUUUGAGGAGGGAAGGUAUUUCCCCCCAGCCUUCUCCAAAAGAAGUUUGAGGAGAAGGAGAGAAAGUACAGACUGCAAGUGGGGAGAGUGUUAUGCAAAAUAUGUGGGUUCAUUUGUUAGAUGGGAAUAAAAAAUGUAACAAAUUUUGGGUAUUGGACCCAGAGUUCCCCACAUGAAUUCUGGGAUGCAAAUUACUGAAGUUUUUAUCUCGUCUUUCUCAGUAUCUCUAAACAACCUCAGUGAAGCAACAGAGCCAAAGCCUUAAGGUUCUCAGCAGUCAGUCUGACUGUUCUUGAGGUGGACUGCUUUCUGCUAUGACCUGUCAUGGACAGAGGCAAAGGGGGAUCUGGGAGAUACACAGGGCCGAUCCAGCAGGGCUGCUGGCAGCACAGGUUGCACCAACCGCUUAAGAUCUUACUUGGGCAAAGUGGGCAGCAAGGCUGUAGUUGUCAUGACACUCUAUUCUGUCCCUGGAUAAAGGCCAUGCUCUGGAUUAGUUCUGUAGAUACCAGAGUCCUCUGGAAACCUAUAUAGGUACACAGGAAGAGAAGACCUUUGUUGUCUCUGCUGAAGAUGCUGAAGAUAUUUGUCUGGUGCAGGUACAACAUACAAAUUAAUAAGAUGCCUAGAGAAGCUGUAGAGUCUCCAUCCUUAGAGCUGUUCAAAGUCUGCAAAACUGGGUUGCCUCUUCUCAUUUAAAUGACAAGGCUUCUCUGCCGCUCUGAUCUCACCCAACAGCUACUGUGGCCCAUGGGAGCUACCAUGGCCCACAGAAGCUACAAAUUGUACAUUUGUUCCUCAGGCAAGUCUGAACUCAUUCAGAGCAUUAUAUUUUGUAGAGAUUUUGCUCUUGAUGAUUGAGUCAAGGGAUACAGAGGCUGUACAAGAGUAUAAACGCAUGAAGGAAAGAAUAUAAAUACUGAAAAGUCUAAUAAAUAUUAAAAAUGGAAAUCAUUUUAUUACAAGGAAUGCAACUACAGAAAUACUGUAGGAGUACCUGUCCAACAUCACUGUUUGCCUGCAGCUGUCAGGAACUCCUCAUGCCAAGGCUGUGAGCUCUAGGGUCAGCCCAAAUAACAAGGCUGAGGAGUCCUGUGAGGUCGCCAUCUAUGUACAGUGGUUUUACUUAUAACCACUGGAUAUCCUCACAGCAUGGAUGAUACACAAGUUACAUUUUUCAUAGUCUUAGUAAAGAAUAUGUAGCUUGCAGUUUGUGGUAUGUAGUUCAUGCCUAGUGGAAACCGCAUUAGUUUAGGCAAUCAGAUUUUUCCUCUAGGUAACAUACACACAUUGGUUGCAAAUAUAGACUCUGCGAGCUUAGAUGGAAAACUUGUGUUUUAUACCCACCAAUAAACUUGUGUAUUGAUCAUUUCUUCUCAUUUAAGACCUUCCUUCUGGAGGAGGAGGCAGUCAUGAGUACUUGUAGCAGAUCUAACUGAAACAAAUUGUAUACAUUAUCCAAGGACAGGCUUCUAGUUUUAUCUCAAAUAAAUAUAGGAAAAUAUGUUUUUUGGCUGCAUUUAUCUGGUUCUCAUGAAAAGACAGCUUUUAAAAUAUUUUUUCAGCAAGAAGCAAUCUUUAACACUAUAAAUCCUUCUGAUAAGGAAUUUAAAAUAGAGAUUUUUCUUUCUAGACCCUGAAAGUAUUUCUUGUAUGUAGACAAUAAAAAAAAUCUUCACUGUUUUGUAGUAUGUCCCUAGCUGGGAACUUUCUUCCAUUUCUUAAUGCUCUUCCUUUGCUACUCUGCUACAAUCAGAUCUAUCAGCUGGCAUUCCUCAUUAUUCUUAAGCAAUUGACUAAAGACAGGAAGUCACUUUGUUUAUAGAAAUGAUGAGCUAGACCUCUAGAAGUGCUGUAAAACAACAGAUAGUGAGGUGGUCAUAUUAAAAAUAUUUUAACAUUUUUCAAGGGUCAAGUUUCAUAUAAAAAGUGUUGUUUUCCUUGGGGAACUUUAGCUGGACCAAAUCACUCAAAUUGUUUGAAGUUCUCCCUGAGAUCCAUGUGCUCGUCUGCACUGUUAAUCUCCUGCCUACUUUGAUGUUUCACCAUGACUAAGCUAUAUGAGAUCCUCAAGCAUUUUUAGGUCAGUCUGAAUGCUAAUAAAAGAUGAGAAUGUAAAAUAAUACUUCUAGCUGGUAACUUGUUCAAAAAUCAUGCUAACAGGAUAAGUGAACACAAUGUACAAUAUUAGUUUAUAUAUUCCCUAACUAAAACUGCCUUUUUUCCAAGUCAGAGGCAUGAGUAGCAUGUUUAGCUCUUUUGUUAUUUGUCCAUGUUAUUAUUAAAUAUUUUCCCAAGACACUGAAAAAGAAUUUCAGAAUAUUUUGGUUUAACUGUUUAAUCUUAUAGAAUACAUAAUAAAUGCCUAAAUGCAUGCUAGAUUAUGCCUGAGUUGAAGAGAAACGUCAGAUGUCAGUGAACUUAUUUUACACUUUUGCUUAUAGACUAACCUGGACCUAUUUUGAGAGGACAGGGCUGCUUGCUGAGGUGAAAGAUGGAGAAAGAUGUACUUCAUACCUCUCCAUAAUAGUUCAUCAUGUCCAUAUCUCUAGGGGGGGGGGGGGGAAGGAAGAAAAACAAGUGAAAUGUUAGAAGAUUCAUUCCCCCCCAUUGAAGCAUGAAAAGGGAGAAAGAAGUCAACAGAGCUCCACUGAUUCAAUACUGAGAGCAGAUGAGCAUAUAAAGGUGUCGUUACUCACUGCCUUUUUAAAGAUCUGGAUUGUCAGAAAGAUGGUGCUUGUGAAGGCUUAGCACUGAACUCUGCUUCUAGCACUGCCUCCCACUUGAUAGGUACUCACUUUGCCAUCUUCAGGUUUGAAGACAACACCUGCAAUAAAGUAGGUUUUCUGGAUCCUCAUAAACGGGGACAGAAAAUACGGAGUAUUUUCUAAAAUUUUGACUGCCAGGGGAGUGUGCUAAAAGAUGAUACACUGACAGCAGAACACAGAAAUGGCAUUGAAAGUUACCACUCACUCACGAGCAGUAGAAGAUAGCCAAACACUGUCACUUAAGAACUCUAAAUAUGCCAAGUUUAUAUUCUGGAAUACAGCAAAUACUUCCUGAAGGACAGCACAGAUGUUAUGAAUUAUCACUUAUAUCAUUUUAGCACUGAAUAAUUCCAGUCAUCAGCCAGGACCUCUCUAUUCUACACAAGGCAGAUCCCAUGCCCCAGGCUCCAGCCAGCUUAUAAUCCAUGCUUUAAAAGAAAUAUUAUGAAGAAAAGGAAUAGAAGUACAUUUGUCAAAACAUUUCAAGAUUGGGUCCCACUUUGUCUCUUAUGAGAGAAGUCCUGGGCUGACACUGGUAUCACGGGGGCUGCAUUAGUUUGCUUACCCUCAGUUAUGACACCAGUGAUAGUUCAAAAUAAAAUAAGGAUAGCCCAAGUUAAAGCAGUAUUUCUAACUGGCUGUAAACAGUAAAAUUAGUAAACUCUGAAUGAUUUCUGAGAAGCAGCCUUUGACCAAUUGGCUCACAGUAUUUCCAAGUGCUGCUCCAAGAUAUUUUUAAUUGGCUUUUCCACUAUGCUUCGAAGUGUUAAGCUAUCUGUUACAAUUUAUUAGUAGCUUUUAAAAGUCCUCCUCAUAUAUAGGCAAAGCUUACAACAUAAGAUAAUAUUUCUUAUGCACCAUUUACUCUGCUGUCUACAUAGCAGUCUUUAUGGCAGUCAGACUAUUUAUGAAGUACUUUGGUCAAAAUGGUUUAAGCUUAUAUUCCAAAGUUUUGAGUUAAAGACUUGAAAACUGAUUGUAACAGCAACUGUUCUCUCCAGUUCUUAGACUGCAGACAUGAUGAUCUCACAAUCUUCCCCACAAAGCAAAAGAUUUUGAAUAUCUAGAUAAGGGAUAAAAUAUUUGAAAAGCUGAACUAAGUGUAGGGGAAGAAAUCAGGAAGAUAACAUAUACAUUCAACAUCUGGACUCCUCAUUUGGAAUGAUGCUUUCUGAUGCAGCAGUGGAUAAAGUAAUCUUUCCUGGAACUGCCGGUGGCUUGAGUGCCAAGAGGCAAUUCCCUUGUGUUUGAUUUUUUAAUACAGCUAUUCAUCAUUAAAAAUCACAAACUGAUCAAUUGCCUAAAAUUAAGCAUGAAGUCUCAAGUCCAGAGUAUCUAAGCAGGAGUGCUCAUUUCACAUCACACAGGUGAUGUACAGAACUGCUUUUAGGGCACUGGGGCCCUCCUGGGGCCCAGCACAUGUGUGACUAUGCAGCACAGGCUGUGCCAGUCAUAUAACAGACUGCUCUGACUGUACUACAAGAGAGACUCGCAGUUAGAGUUCACUUGAGAGUAAGGAUGGCUCCCAUUGCAAAUUUUUGUAUGAGUUCCUAGAUUUGACACUUCUUUGCUCAAGUUCUCAUCUGAUUUUAUUUGUUGGGUCCCUCUUGGUGGAUUGAGAUGCAUGUUAGGUUGAAAUGAGCUGUAGAGAAGCCAAGGGUUCUAUCUUCUUGUCUGACAUAACCUGUCCAUCAUCUGAGUAGUGUGUAAAUAUAUAUGACGUAUUAAUCUUUUCAAUAAUAAUUGCAAUUUAUAAUUAUGUAGUGAUGUAUUCACUUAAGAAAACCAAAGGUCAUUCAUAUUAGUAUUAGAAGAUAAAGAUAAAACGCAAGACAUGUAGCAUACAUUGUCCCUUUUAAGAAAUUAUAAGCACCAUGAUGUUAACUUCCAACUUGGUCUCGCUGAAUCUUUGUAAUCUUCCGUCUAUUUAUUGCUGAUAUUAAACUGAGAUCAAUGAAGUUGAGGAUUUAAAGUUAAUUUCAAUAAUUAUUUUUACACAACCUUAAUUACAAUUGAGAGAUGUUUUGCAGCAUUCUGCUGACAAAUAAAACAAGAAAAAGUACAUUUUCUCGCCUGCAAUAAAGAGUCCUGGAAUUUAUGGAAACUGAUGAAUGUAGUUCUGCAAGAUCAGAAUGUAUUAAAGUGUUAUAAAAAUGUCAGUUUAACUUUUAUCUGCUUUGGCUUAGUGUAUUUCUUCUUUCCAACACUGAUAAUUUGAUUGCACUCGGAUAAGUCCUUUAUCAAACUUUUUUUUUUAAUUGCAUUAAAUUCAAUGUCACACAUGAUAAUUCAAAAAAAAAUAAAAAUAAAAAAUUUCAGCAUAUUGUGUGUUUUUGAAUUAAACAUGCUUCCAACCCUCUUUCCAAGAUUCAGUAUGCUGCUGAUAAAUGUUUUAAGACAAAUAUCACUAACAGUUUGAUUUUUGUUACACAAACACUUCACUUGUUUAGAUUUUGCAACAUUUUAUAAAGUGUUUUCCGGCCUAAAAUACUGAGAUCUUUCAUGCUUCCAGCUUGUGGCCAUCUCUGAUUACUUUUAAACAAAUUACAUUUCUGAAUGAGCUAUCAUUUCUUCUGUCAGAACACUACUCUGCCUGAAGCUUAAACUAAGCAAAAGAAUCUCUACUUUUACC
ensembl:lncRNA